AAAUUGCUUGAACCUGGGAGCAGAGGUUGCAGUGAGCCAAGAUCGCACCACUGCACUCCAGCCUGGGUGACAAGA
rnacentral:snRNA from 1 species